rnacentral:rRNA from 1 species
AUGAACGCUGGCGGCGUGCCUCAUCCAUGCAAGUCGAGCGAACAGACGAGGAGCUUGCUCCUCUGACGUUAGCGGCGGACGGGUGAGUAACACGUGGAUAACCUACCUAUAAGACUGGGAUAACUUCGGGAAACCGGAGCUAAUACCGGAUAAUAUAUUGAACCGCAUGGUUCAAUAGUGAAAGACGGUUUUGCUGUCACUUAUAGAUGGAUCCGCGCCGCAUUAGCUAGUUGGUAAGGUAACGGCUUGCCAAGGCAACGAUGCGUAGCCGACCUGAGAGGGUGAUCGGCCACACUGGAACUGAGACACGGUCCAGACUCCUACGGGAGGCAGCAGUAGGGAAUCUUCCGCAAUGGGCGAAAGCUUGACGGAGCAACGCCGCGUGAGUGAUGAAGGUCUUCGGAUCGUAAAACUCUGUUAUUAGGGAAGAACAAAUGUGUAAGUAACUAUGCACGUCUUGACGGUACCUAAUCAGAAAGCCACGGCUAACUACGUG